rnacentral:rRNA from 1 species
GGCUGCAACUCGCCUGCAUGAAGUCGGAAUUGCUAGUAAUCGUAGGUCAGCAUACUACGGUGAAUACGUUCCCGGGCCUUGUACACACCGCCCGUCAAACCAUGAGAGUUGGCAACACCCGAAGUCGGUAGUCUAACCGCAAGGAGGACGCCGCCGAAGGUGGGGUUGAUGAUUAGGGUUAAGUCGUAACAAGGUACC